CACCUUUAGAGGUGAGGUCAUGCUCAUAGGUCUCCUCCUGACGGUGGAGAAUCACAGAGGAGGGAGAAGCCAAGAUAUGAGCAAAGGCACCAGCGCUGGAUCCUGAAAGAGCCAGGUUUCUUCAAACCUGCUGGUGAGUUUGCAGCCCUGGCCAACGAUUACCUAAUGCAUUUGUGUCAUCUGCUUUCCUUGUUGUGAGAAAACACACGGAGGAAAUGUAAUUACUUAAAGAAGUGAAGUAAGAUUUUUCCAAGUUAUUGAAGAUGAAGAGAAAGACAAAAAGGAAAAGAAGAAAAAAACCACAAGAAAAUCAAGAAGAGAAAGGAGAGGAGAAAUGAACCAAAAAGCGAGGAAAGAAAGAAAUGAAGAAAAAAGAGAAGAAGAAGAAGAGAAAGAAGGAAAGAAAAGAGCAGGAUCACUCAUGGAUCUUUAUUAAAUUUUAGCAAUUGGCUCAUUAACAUACCUAUGAAGAAAAUAAAAGAGAUAUUAGC